UUACGGUCAUAUCACGUUGAAACACCGGUUCCCGUAUAAUAACCGAAGUUAAGCAACGUCGAACCAGCUCAGUAUCUACAUGGGUGACCGAUGAGAAUACCAGGUGUUGAAA